rnacentral:rRNA from 1 species
CCUACGGGAGGCUGCAGUGGGGAAUAUUGGACAAUGGGCGAAAGCCUGAUCCAGCCAUACCGCGUGUGUGAAGAAGGCCUUCGGGUUGUAAAGCACUUUCAGUGGGGAAGAAAGCCUUGGGGCUAAUACCCUCGAGGAAGGACAUCACCCACAGAAGAAGCACCGGCUAACUCCGUGCCAGCAGCCGCGGUAAUACGGAGGGUGCGAGCGUUAAUCGGAAUUACUGGGCGUAAAGCGCGCGUAGGCGGUCUGAUAAGCCGGUUGUGAAAGCCCCGGGCUCAACCUGGGAACGGCAUCCGGAACUGUCAGGCUAGAGUGCAGGAGAGGAAGGUAGAAUUCCCGGUGUAGCGGUGAAAUGCGUAGAGAUCGGGAGGAAUACCAGUGGCGAAGGCGGCCUUCUGGACUGACACUGACGCUGAGGUGCGAAAGCGUGGGUAGCAAACAGGAUUAGAUACCCUAGUAGUC